rnacentral:tRNA from 1 species
GGGCGCGUAGCUCAGCUGGGAGAGCACCUCGUUUACACCGAGGGGGUCGGCGGUUCGAGCCCGUCCGCGCCCACCA